rnacentral:rRNA from 1 species
GACGAACGCUGGCGGCGUGCCUAAUACAUGCAAGUCGAACGCAGUGGGGACGGGUGAGUAACACGUGGGUAACCUCCCAUCAGAGGGGAUAACACUUGGAAACAGGUGCUAAACCGAUACUGAUGGAUGGACCCGCGGUGCAUUAGCUAGUUGGUGAGGUAACGGCUCACCAAGGCCACGAUCCAUAGGUGGUGUGAGAGGACGAACCGCCACACUGGGACUGAGACACGGCCCAGACUCCUACGGGAGGCAGCAGUGGGGAAUUUGGGGCAAUGGAGGAAACCCUGAUCCAGCCAGCCCGCGUGUGCGAUGAAGGCCUUCGGGUUGUAAAGCACUGUUGGCAGGAAAGCGGUACCUGCAGAAUAAGCACCGGCUAACUACGUGCCAGCAGCCGCGGUAAUAC